GUCCCCGAAUGCAAAAACAUGUCCUGAGGAAAGAUCGUGACAAAAUAUUGAGCAGCCUAGACCUCUUUAAAAAAUGAACUAAGUAAAAGAAUUAGGCAUUGUACCUCUUGCAAGUAUUUGGAGUUGGCUUGAAUUACGAUUUAAUAUUAUGAAAAAAUUCAAAAUUACAAAUCACAAAAAAAUGGAAAUUGAAAGAGGUGCAAUUUUUCAUCAAGUUGCACCAAAUUGAUACAAGUCAAUUCAUGUAAUCAAGUUAUAAAACACGUUAGCGGUUGC
rnacentral:misc_RNA from 1 species